rnacentral:rRNA from 1 species
CAGUAGCCGCGGUAAUACGAAUGGUGCAAGCGUUAAUCGGAAUUACUGGGCGUAAAGCGUGCGUAGGCGGUUUGUUAAGUCUGCUGUGAAAUCCCCGGGCUCAACCUGGGAAUGGCAGUGGAUACUGGCAAGCUAGAGUGUGUCAGAGGAUGGUGGAAUUCCCGGUGUAGCGGUGAAAUGCGUAGAGAUCGGGAGGAACAUCAGUGGCGAAGGCGGCCAUCUGGGACAACACUGACGCUGAGGCACGAAAGCGUGGGGAGCAAACAGGAUUAGAUACCCCAGUAGUCCCUGUCUCUUAUAU